UCAAGCAUGUACGCGAGAAUGAGAAGGCCUAACUGGACCGAUGAAGAGUCUCUACUCCUUGCUCAGCUGAUAGAAGAACGGAAAGAGAUAAUCAGAAGGAAGUGCAGUGCUGGAGUUACAUCACUGGCUAAAAGACAAGCAUGGGAAGAGAUAGCCCAUACCAUUAAUAUAGGUUUCCCUCAGUAUCAGCGGACAGUUGCUGAUUGUACCAAAAAAUGGGAGAAUUUGCUUGCAAAGUCAAGAAAUGAAAUAAAAAGACAAAGAAUGCAUAUAGGUGAAGACUUGUCCCCCGCACAGUUGAGUGAUGUCACCCAGAUUGUGCUUUCUGUGAUGAACCUCUCUGACAGAAUGGAUGAGGAGAUGAAAGAUCCUUCCAUUCUACUUUUAAGCGAAACUCAACAGAGCUUUGAUGAAGAAAGCAAUCUAUGUAACACACCUCUAACGGAGAACGGCCAUCAUUCGUGCAACGAGUCCGGGACGAUACGCCUCAGCGACCCAUUUGAUUCUCCGGAGGAACAGAAGGUGUCUUUUUAUAACAGUGUCCACCAUUCUCCCGUGAUGAACAUAGGCAAUCACGGUAUGACCGUCAGCUCUCCUUCAAUGCCGUCGGCGCCUUUGACUUUGCCUCGCGCCAUCAGUACACCAGCAUCACCGCACACCUCACAGCACACAACGUUGCAAGAACGAAUGGAUUUGGAGAUGUCUGUCCUUCGAAGACAAGAGGCUGUCCUCAAGCUUCAAGAGGAGUAUUAUUCUCUUAAGAUUAAGCUGCUGAAAAAACAGAAUGAUGUUUAUUCGAAAGAUCAGUGUUAAAGAGGAUAUAUCACGUUAACCUGUGGCCGUUUCUGGAACACGACCAUCAGAAAUACUGUGAAGUAGGUGUGGUCAUUUAGUAUGGCGCCUGUUCUUAUAUUUUUUAUUUGAAGAACCCCAGAAGCGCGUCCAUAGUUUACAUUUGAUUUACUGUCUGUGCUUAUUAUGGAUUUUUAAACAAGGUAUCUAGUAAUGCUUACCGUGUGUGUGUGUGUGUGUGUCUUGUGUGCGUAUGAGAAAGAAAGAAUGAGAAGUAGAUAUAUUAAAUCAUUUCUAGUUUAAGUUGUAACUCCUGUGAUUUUUGUCUUUCAUGUUUCUUCUAUUCGUUACUUUUUCCCAACUAUGUAGAGUAGAUGUUUACAUUAUUUUUACUAAAUUGCAGCCAGUCCAACCUGCCCUUUUCCCCCUUAUUAACUAUUUUCUGCACCAAUUUACUCCCUUUUAUUUACAAAAAUGUACCAAAUAUCAAAAUCAUAAUUCAUCAAAUAGCCUUGAAUUCCCUCAGCAUUGCCUUCUCUAUAGUCUACAAUAACCCGAGGACUUAAAGAUGGCACUUGUCUUAUCUAAGUUCAGGACAGAAACAAUAUAUCCUUUAUGUAUGUAAUUUCUGAAAAUCUUAUUUCAUAUCAGUUAAUUUUUUACAUACAAACCAACGGCAACACUCACCAACAUUUGGCCGGUGCCCAAAGCAUGUUGGUGGCAGUUUGCUGUUGUCAGAUUAUGUUUCUGUUAGCAAACAUGUUGAACCUGUGUUGGCAAACGCCAACCAACAUUCUGUAGUUGAGUGUUGUUGUUUGUUGGGGCAGUUUGCUGGGGCACCUCAAAGCUACAGGAUAAUGACAAAUUUGACAGAUGAUGGAUAAAGGCUCAGGCUAUGGACUGGGCCAGCAACACCUCUGCGCAAAUUAUUUUACAACAAUGGGACAGUUUCUUCUGCUUAUACCAGUUACAAACAAUUAUUUGAUAUUUGUUGCUUUCAACAAGCAAACAUCUGAUUGAUAGUUAUAUUCUACGAAAACAAUGAUUUUUGCAGAUCUGUUUAAAAAAUGGACUUUUAAAAGAUGUGUCCCUUUGAAACAUGUACUGAUCAGAAUCAAUGCCAUUGGUGUGUAUUAAUUUUCGAUAACGGAAAACUUCUGCUUUUUAACCGUUCUGAAUCAAUAUGCUACAAAUCCGAGUACAACUAUCGACCAAAUGUUUGCUUGACAACGAAAAAACAAUAUUCUCAAAUGCUGCAGAAGAAUAUGAAAGUAACUAAUAUAAUCAUUGUUUUUAACUUUGGUAUAAGUGGAAUAAAACAGUGCGGGGUAGAAAAUAAUGUACUUUGGUCUUACAUUAUUUUCCCCUAACAGGGCUUCCCGUCAUAGUUAAUCCUUACGUAUACAUUCACACAGAAUACAAAUGUUGAAUUCUCACAUCUAAGUUACCAUUUAUUUGAACGUUUAACCACUUUCAGCACAAGCUGUCUUGUUUGCUCUGUAACACAGUCCAUUUCACAUGUAUAGUUUACUUUGUGGGUAGGGGUGUCAACUUGCUGAUUCACCUCUUUUCAUUUUAAUGUGACUUUGAGAGUUGGGAUUUUUGACAUAUAACAAUAACCAUAUUUAAUAAAAAACGCUGCGUGGCUACACCAAACGUACGCAAACGAAAAAUAAGUCUAGACGAAUGUAGUAAUUUGUACAUAAUAUUUCUCAUAAAUCUGUUUAUUUUAAAGUGACUCCUCUUGGCACCGGGAUGUGAGAUGAGGGCCCCGGGGUGACGAAUAAAAGGCUGUUAUUUGCUGUGCGGUUUGCUCAUUUCCUUUGUUAGUGUUGUGCCAGACUGUGCUACAGUCGAGCAGUGUGACUGUCUUCCCUCGCUGGGCAGCAGCGAGCCUCCACGGCUGUAGCUCUCCCUCUUGUGCAUUGAUUUCUGAAGCAGCUUUUUCAAGACUUUCCCUGAGAAAAGAGAGCCUCCUUUCAUGAACUGUAGCAGGAACACAACGGCUAGCCCAGACUGCCAUGAUGACAUGGGGAUGUGUCCAAUUCAAGGUUUAUAUAAACAUCAUGUCCUCUCCCUCUCUGGUAAUUCCUAAGACCAACUAAAUAACCAUAAUCAUUAGGGGAUCUUGGUGCCGAUCAAUAGGUUACAAUGGAUAGGUUGUGCAUACUUUGCAAGGAGGGUAUCCUUGCAACCAUGUUUUUAAAGUCCAUCC
ensembl:lncRNA